GCAGAAACUUGCCCACCACUUGCAGAUCAUGCAAGAGGCUGAAAGUGAUGUUAAAGUGAAAAGGGAAGCAGUUCUCAGGGCACUUUGCCUCUACCUUGGUGAAGAGGACGGAAGCCUUAUUCGGGAGUUCUUUGACAUUGAAGGAGAUGAUAUCCAGAGAGACCUGAAGAAGCACACCAUGGGCAUUUAUGUCAUCAACAGGGAGGAUGGACAAAAUGGACAUUAU